CCAAAAAAAGAAAAAGCAAAACCAGAGUACCAGGUGAGGUGCGUCUGCAGGUAAGCGGCCAGUGAGCGGCACACUCAGUCCAGUUCACUGUGCUGGGCUGUUCUGUGCACAGCUCGGGAGGCAGUGCGCGGAGGUCCCGGGCUGUCACAGACGGGCGCUCUCUGCAGCCGCGAAGGCCCCGGCGGCGGGCGGCCGAGUGCCCUGCUGUCCCGCAGGUACCUGCUGUGCUGGACAAGGGAGCUGCAAGCAUCUGCACCUUGGGGCCGAGAGUCUGAAUCCAGGCCGCUGGGUGCAGUGCAGGCCAGCUCGGUGGGUCCGGUUGUGUGUGGGUGAGGGGGCCGGCCGGGUCCCAGUGGAGGCCCCGGCCCGCCGAGCCUCAGCUGGCGUGGGGCUGUGUCCGGGCCGGGUGUCUGAAGUCCAGGUCGGGUGAGUGCAGUCCGGGCGGUCGCAGUGGGUCUGGUGAGUGUGGGUGAGGAGGGUCGGGUCCCAGGGCGCCCCCGGGCC
rnacentral:antisense_RNA from 1 species